GAUGAACGCUGGCGGCGUGCCUAAUACAUGCCAGUCGAGCGAACAGACGAGGAGCUUGCUCCUCUGACGUUAGCGGCGGCCGGGUGAGUAACACGUGGAUAACCUACCUAUAAGACUGGGAUAACUUCGGGAAACCGGAGCUAAUACCGGAUCAUAUAUUGAACCGCAUGGUUCAAUAGUGAAAGACGGUUUUGCUGUCACUUAUAGAUGGAUCCGCGCCGCAUUAGCUAGUUGGUAAGGUAACGGCUUACCAAGGCAACGAUGCGUAGCCGACCUGAGAGGGUGAUCGGCCACACUGGAACUGAGACACGGUCCAGACUCCUACGGGAGGCAGCAGUAGGGAAUCUUCCGCAAUGGGCGAAAGCCUGACGGAGCAACGCCGCGUGAGUGAUGAAGGUCUUCGGAUCGUAAAACUCUGUUAUUAGGGAAGAACAAAUGUGUAAGUAACUAUGCACGUCUUGACGGUACCUAAUCAGAAAGCCACGGCUAACUACGUG
rnacentral:rRNA from 1 species